rnacentral:tRNA from 1 species
AGUCUCAUAGUGUAAUGGUCAGCACACUGGACUCUGAAUCCAAAAAUCCCAGUUCGAGUCUGAGUGAGACUG